GCAGCUUCCCAUAACAACUGGUGUGGAUAAAUUUUUAUUCCAUGCCUUGAAGAAAUUCAGGAUUGAUUGAAUGCAGAAAGACCUAGUUAUCCACCAUAGGAAAGAGUUUGCUUGCCUUCUGUCUACAUCAGUUUACACAUGAGCUGCAUUUAAAGGUAGGAAGAUCAAAUCUUUCAGCAUUUGAUGUUUACAUGGGAGAAUCAACAGCAAGUGUGAACUGGACAUUGCUGACUGUACCAGAUAAAAAGACAAUUACAAGCAGAAAAUAGAGUUGCUGAUAACAUACAGCUUUCACAUAUGAUGUUCAGCUUAGCUAAUGGGGAUGGGGGCAGAGAGAGAGAGAGAGAAGAAAAAACAAUAUACAAGAGUGGAAAGGGAGUUAAACUCCUGUCAGCCUCAGUCUCUUGCUACAUUCCUGCUGACUCAAGCAUACCACGGCUCCUCAAAGACAUAUGUAAAAAUGUUGAAGAAUCUCAUUUUGAGUCAUUUGCUCUUCACUUCCCAGCUCUCAUUAAAAUAAUCUGUUCAGAUUGUC